CCCCCMYMUMMMSMCMMAAAWWYMWMWCACACUAUAAUUACUUGAUCUUGACAAAUCCUACUUGGAUAACUGUGGUAAUUCUAGAGCUAAUACAUGCACCAAAGCUCUGACCUUGCGGGAAGAGUGCAUUUAUUAGAACAAAACCAGGCGGCCUUCGGGUCGUUUUUUGUUGACUCAGAAUAACUAAGCUGAUCGCAUGGUCUCGUACCGGCGACGUGUCUUUCAAGUGUCUGCCUUAUCAACUUUCGAUGGUAGUGUAUGUGACUACCAUGGUUGUGACGGGUAACGGAGGAUAAGGGUUUGACUCCGGAGAAGGGGCCUGAGAAAUGGCCACUACGUCUAAGGAUGGCAGCAGGCGCGCAAAUUACCCACUCUCAGUAUGAGGAGGUAGUGACGAGAAAUAACGAGACCGUUCUCUUAGAGGCCGGUCAUCGGAAUGGGUACAAUCUAAACCCUUUAACGAGUAUCUAUGAGAGGGCAAGUCUGGUGCCAGCAGCCGCGGUAAUUCCAGCUCUCAAAAUGCAUAGAAUUAUUGCUGCGGUUAAAAAGCUCGUAGUUGGAUCUGUGCCGCAGGACUCGGUCCGCCUUCGGGCGCGCACUGAGCUCCUCGGCUUUUCUGCUGGUUUUCCCGUUAUGGUCUUAACCGGCCGUAGCGGGUGGCUGGCGAUUUUACUUUGAACAAAUCAGAGUGCUCAACACAGGCGUUUCGCUUGAAUGUUCUUGCAUGGAAUAAUAGAAGAGGAUUUCGGUCCUAUUUUAUUGGUUUUAUAGGCUGAAAUAAUGGUUAAUAGAGACAAACGGGGGCAUUCGUAUCGCUGCGUGAGAGGUGAAAUUCUWGGRCCGCAGCGAGACGAACUACAGCGAAAGCAUUUGCCAAGAAUGUCUCAUAAUCAAGUCGAUGMG
rnacentral:rRNA from 1 species